AGAGUUUGAUCCUGGCUCAGGAUGAACGCUGGCGGCAUGCCUAAUACAUGCAAGUCGAACGGAGCACUUCGGUGCUCAGUGGCGAACGGGUGAGUAACACGUGGGGAACCUGUCCAUGCGCCCGGGACAACAUCUGGAAACGGAUGCUAAAACCGGAUAGUUCAUACGGCGGCAUCGUCGUAUGAUUAAAUGAACAACUGUUCAGAGCAUGGGUGGACCUGCGGUGCAUUAGCUGGAUGGUGAGGCAACGGCUCACCAUGGCGACGAUGCGUAGCCGGCCUGAGAGGGCGGACGGCCACAUUGGGACUGAGACACGGCCCAAACUCCUGCGGGAGGCAGCAGUAGGGAAUUUUCGUCAAUGGAGGAAACUCUGAACGAGCAAUGCCGCGUGAGUGAAGACGGCCUUCGGGCUGUAAAGCUCUGUUGCGGGGAAUAAGAGGAAGGAAGAGUGGAAAGCUUCCUUCAGGAUCGUACCCCGCCAGAAAGUCACGGCUAACUACGUGCCAGCAGCCGCGGUAAUACGUAGGUGGCGAGCGUUAUCCGGAAUGAUUGGGCGUAAAGGGUGCGCAGGCUGCCGGUCAAGUCUCAGUGAUAGAUCGAAGCUCAACUUCGGUUUGCUGAGGAAACUGGCCGGCUGGAGAGCACGAGAGGGCGGUGGAACUCCAUGUGUAGCGGUAAAAUGCGUAGAUAUAUGGAAGAACAUCAGUGGCGAAGGCGGCCGCCUGGACUGCGUCUGACGCUGAGGCACGAAAGCGUGGGGAGCAAAUAGGAUUAGAUACCCUAGUAGUCCACGCAGUAAACGAUGAGGACCAGGUGUCGGGUUAGAAGCCCGGUGCCGAAGUUAACACAGUGAGUCCUCCGCCUGGGGAGUAUGCACGCAAGUGUGAAACUCAAAGGAAUUGACGGGGGCCCGCACAAGCGGUGGAGUAUGUGGUUUAAUUCGAAGCAACGCGAAGAACCUUACCAGGCCUUGACAUGGGAAGCGAAGGAGCAGAGAUGUUCCGGAGGUUAUCUUCCACACAGGUGGUGCAUGGUUGUCGUCAGCUCGUGUCGUGAGAUGUUGGGUUAAGUCCCGCAACGAGCGCAACCCUUGUGAUAUGUUGCCAGUAUUAAGUUAGGCACUCAUAUCAAACUGCCGGUGACAAACCGGAGGAAGGCAGGGAUGACGUCAAAUCAUCAUGCCCCUUAUGGCCUGGGCUACACACGUACUACAAUGGCGUCUACAAAGGGAAGCGAACCAGUGAUGGCGAGCGAAUCCCAUAAAGGGCGUCCCAGUUCGGAUUGAAGCCUGCAACCCGGCUUCAUGAAGAUGGAAUCGCUAGUAAUCGCGGAUCAGCAUGCCGCGGUGAAUACGUUCCCGGGCCUUGUACACACCGCCCGUCAAACCAUGGGAGUUGGUAAUGCCCGAAGCCGGUAUCUCCAAGGCUAUUAGUCAGGAGGCCGUCGAAGGCAGGAUCGAUGACUGGGGUUAAGUCGUAACAAGGUAACC
rnacentral:rRNA from 1 species